GAGGAAAAGAAAUCAACCGAGAUUCCCCCAGUAGCGGCGAGCGAACGGGGAGCAGCCCAGAGCCUGAAUCAGUGUGUGUGUUAGUGGAAGCGUCUGGAAAGGCGCGCGAUACAGGGUGACAGCCCCGUACACAAAAAUGCACAUGCUGUGAGCUCGAUGAGUAGGGCGGGACACGUGGUAUCCUGUCUGAAUAUGGGGGGACCAUCCUCCAAGGCUAAAUACUCCUGACUGACCGAUAGUGAACCAGUACCGUGAGGGAAAGGCGAAAAGAACCCCGGCGAGGGGAGUGAAAAAGAACCUGAAACCGU
rnacentral:rRNA from 1 species